GAUGAACGCUGGCGGCGUGCCUAAUACAUGCAAGUCGAGCGAACAGACGAGGAGCUUGCUCCUCUGACGUUAGCGGCGGACGGGUGAGUAACACGUGGAUAACCUACCUAUAAGACUGGGAUAACUUCGGGAAACCGGAGCUAAUACCGGAUAAUAUAUUGAACCGCAUGGUUCAAUAGUGAAAGACGGUUUUGCUGUCACUUAUAGAUGGAUCCGCGCCGCAUUAGCUAGUUGGUAAGGUAACGGCUUACCAAGGCGACGAUGCGUAGCCGACCUGAGAGGGUGCUCGGCCACACUGAAACUGAGACACGGUCCAGACUCCUACGGGAGGCAGCGGUGGGAAAUCUUCCGCAAUGGGCGAAAGCCUGACGGAGCAACGCGGCGUGAGUGAUGAAGGUCUUCGGUUCGUAAAACUCUGUUAUUAGGGAAGAACAAAUGUGUAAGUAACUAUGCACGUCUGGACGGUACCUAAUCAGAAAGCACGGCUAACUACGUG
rnacentral:rRNA from 1 species